rnacentral:lncRNA from 1 species
CUUCCUCCUGCUGGGUCCCUGCUCCUACUUUCUGGAGCCAGCACUGCGGGGUGGCAGGCAUGUUGGGAUUUGCAGCAUCAGGGUGUAGCCUCCAACACACACCCCAGUAAUCUGGUCUUACCUGCUGCUCACUCAGACAGCGGUGAGGAAACGCUGGGGGUUGAGCUGCUCUUCCCCACGAGCUGAGCCUCCAGGGGACAGCGAGGGGCAGAUGUGUGAGCCCACCUGGCUGAGCGGACACAGAGUUCGUGGGCUGAGGCACCGAGAUCUGGGGAGCCAGGCAGAAGUGCAUCAGGAAGUGAGAAAGGAGAAGAGACAAACUGCAGCAUGCCAGAGCAGAAGCAGCCGCAGCGCGGUAGGGGCCAGCUGUGAUUUGGAUGAAGAGCCUGCCCGGUUCUGUUUUGAUCCAAGCUGCUUUGUGGGUUUGGGGCCCGGAUCAAGACCUCUGCAGAAGCAGCAAUCACCAAGCUCCAAGCCAGCCCACAUCCACACUUGGCUCUUCUCCAGCAGUGAGGAAUUGUACUGACAGCUGGCAGUGAUCCUCCAUCGCCUUGUCACCUCAUAACCACUGGAAAGAACUGCUGAACUGGGGGCAGAAGCAGACUCCACAUUACCAUCCGUGCCAGAUGACCACAGACCAGCAAUCCAAAGCAGUGCCAGCCAAGAGAGAUACUGCCCAUCUACCUCCCAGCAGCAGAUGACAGGAAUGACCUGCCCGUGGCUCCUCAGCGGGGAACGACUUCCCUCAGUGCUCUUCUUUGUGCCUCCUUAGCCCAUCACCAGGCUCAGCCAUCUCA